ACGAACGCUGGCGGCGUGCUUAACCCCUGCAAGUCGAACGGUGAAGCGCCUUCCUUUUUGGUGGGUGUGGAUGAGUGGCGAACGGGUGAGUAACACGUGAGUAACCUGCCCCCUUCUUCUGGAUAACCGCAUGAAAGUGUGGCUAAUACGGGAUAUUCUGGGUCUGUCGCAUGAUGGGUCUGGGAAAGAUAUUGUUUCGGUGGGGGAUGGGCUCGCGGCCUAUCAGCUUGUUGGUGGGGUGAUGGCCUACCAAGGCGGUGACGGGUAGCCGGCCUGAGAGGGUGGACGGUCACACUGGGACUGAGACACGGCCCAGACUCCUACGGGAGGCAGCAGUGGGGAAUAUUGCACAAUGGGCGCAAGCCUGAUGCAGCGACGCCGCGUGAGGGAUGGAGGCCUGCGGGUUGUGAACCUCUUUCGCCAGUGAAGCAGGCCUGCCUCGUUUGUGGGUGGGUUGACGGUAGCUGGAUAAGAAGCGCCGGCUAACUACGUG
rnacentral:rRNA from 1 species